GGUUCUAUGGUAUAGUGGUGAGGUCAUUGGACUCUCAAUCCAGUAACCCGAGUUCAAAUCUCGGUGGAACCU
rfam:Picea glauca, whole genome shotgun sequence.